AAAUAUUUUAACGCCAAUCCCACGGCCUGCACAGUUGGGCGGCCCAGCUGGUCGGCAGUGUCUGGGGGAGGCUCCUGGCGGCUGACGUCAAUUGGCAGAGCCCAGAAUCUCACACUCAGCCUGCCUCCCACACGUUCCUCUUCCCGCCCAGUCCUAUCAGCUAACUUUUGCCUCUCAGGAUUCAGAUUCAUCUUCUACAGGUUUUUCAACAAGGAAAUGCAUGACCUUUCCAGCCUCUUCAGUCUUCUUCUCGACCUAUGAACAAGUUUUGCAUUUUCUGUCUGAAAGGAGGAUGAAGAGUUUGGCAGAGAAGAAUGUGAAGCGGUGCAAAGCAGGGCUUCUGACAACUGACUUAGCAGUUCUCUUCACUUGCUUGCUAAGGACACGAGUACCUCAACGCCCAAAUCCAGAAAGAGAAGCAGGAAGCGAUGGCGGCCUGCGAAGGACACACCCCUGGACGCCGAGUCCUGGGUUCUUGGGUUCUCAGCCUUCCCACUGCACAGCAGGGAUCUCAGAAUCGUCCCCCUGUGAAUUCUCUCACCCAUAUUCUCAUCCUUCCCACUGUUUUCCCUGCUUCUCCCACUCACCCUAUUCUGGGAAAAUUCCAGAGAUAAACGUGGGAAACCACAGGCUGCCCUUCCUUCGGUGCUUCUGCAUUUCCCAGCGCCCAGGAUCUGCCCGCUGGAUUACAGCAGCUCCUGAAGACCGUUUCUGAUCUGCCUUGGGUGGAACUGGGUGUCCACACGUGUGGGGUCACCACCACAAUCAACAUUUCCACCACCCAAGUGUCACAGUGAUAUCAUGGCCACAUGGCCGUCACCACUGCAACCAUGGACGUGCUUUAGACCUGCAUGGGUCAGACUGGCUUUCAAGAAUUGCAUCUGAAUGGAAUCAGUCACGUUGAGUCUCACUUCUAGGUUUGGAUAAUUUUUUUGAGAUUCAUCCAUGUUGUUAAUGUAUUAGUAGAGUAGCUUUCCCUUGUAUGGAGACCACAGUUUUUAUCCAUUCACUAUUAAUAAACAUUUGAGGUAUUUUCCCCCUAGGUUUUGGCUAUUUUAGGUAAAGGUCCCAUGAACAUGUCUGUAAAGUCUGUGUGUGAUGAUAAGUUGACAUUUAUUUUAAUUAAAUACUUAGGAACCAUGUCCAGCAAUUUUUAAAACUCUCUGUUUGGGGCACCAGGUCUAAAGGGUUGAGUAGAAUAAGUUCUUGGCACAAUAUAUCAUCGCUACUCACGCAAAGCACUCUUCUCCUUUAAUGUAUUUACUUAUUUAUGAAUUGGUUUAUUUAUUCCCUUUCAUCUCCGUCCCCCACACCCCUUCUCUGAUCAGCGAUCUGACACGUGUUUGAUGUCUAGCCAGGGCUGAUAGGGAGUCUCUGAAACACUGCCAUACCCGUUGGUAAAUAGUAGAACCAUGAGCAGUAUAGGAAGUACGAUUCAUCAAUAACGUAAAUGCAGCUUACUCAGGGUGGUGCUUAGUUUUAUAUGAAGCGUUGGCCAAGCUUCACUGCCCAGUUAUUCAAUCAAACAUUAACCCAGGUGUUGCUCUGAAGAUAUUUUGCAGAUGAGUUAACAUUUUCAGUCCAUUGCCUGCCUCUGUUCCGAGAAGUCUGGCCCUGAUGGGUGUGGGGUGCUGUUGAGCUUACUACUUGUAUCCAAAGACAUCAGAAAGGAUCCCAUAGGGCUGCAAAAUCCAGUUGUGUAUCUGCUUUGGGUUCUGCGUGUUAAUUAGUAUAUGUGAGGCAGAAGUGAGACCCAGCUUCUUAAGCUGUGACAGCCCACCUGGUGUCAGAUGGCAGAGCAGGUGGCCCGUCUCUAGUCACCAGUGAUUAAAAGCGUUACUGAAAGGAUGUGGAAGCUGUUUGCUGAACCCGCUUUGUACCACGCAAUCCACCAUCUUGCCAGGACUGACCUGGCAAAGGACCAGGGUGUGACUCAAAGGCAGGUGCCUACCAGAGGGGCUGGUGGGGUUAUCCAAAGGGCCAUCCACUGAGGUCAGCAAACAGGACACAUGGAGGGUCAGUGGGCCGAAGCAGAGACGUAGCACAGGGGACAGAGCAGCCAUCGGGAACCGUGAGUCAAGACAGAGGUAGAGAGGGUUGGUCUGUAGCAGGAGUGGCAGGGCGAGCAGAGAUAAGCCAGGCACAGCUGUGACAAGGCCCGAUGGGGAAGCAGCCGGCCAGAGCUCCUGCAGGCUCAUGAGGUGUGUCUCAGGUCCAAGGACACGCUGACAGUAGAGCAGGACACCCGCCUUCCACACAACGCGGUCCUGGCGUCCCAGAUCCCCGCAGCCUGACUGCUGGCCCAUGGAUCCAAACUGUGGGGAGGAGCUCCUGCUGUGGCUCAGCAGGUUGAAGACCCAGCGCUACUUCUGUAAGGAUGUGGGUCUGAUCCCUGGCCUCGCUCCCUGGGUUAAAGAUCCAGUGUUGCUGCAAGCUACGGUGUAGGUCAAAGAUGCGGCUGGCAUCCAGUGUUGCUAUGGCAUAGGCUUCAGCUGCAGCUCUGGUUCAACCCCUAGCCCGGGAACUCCCAUAUGUUCAGGUGCGGCCGUAAAAAGAAAAACAAGUGAGGAAACAUGCGGUUAUUUCUUAAACCUACAAACACGCACGUGGAAGCGAGUGAUACUGAUCUGCCUGUGCGCCUAACAAAAUGGUUCUAGCGGGCCUUCCUCGCUUACUAACUAAGUAAACACUCUUCCUGAGAAGCUCUUUCCGGGGUUAGAUGGAGCCCAGCCCGGCCUGCUCACUUCUAUGCUUCAUCUGUAGGAAAUGAGAGGCAAAGAGUGGGGAGAGCUUCAAAUACCAAAGCUUAGAAGGGAGGAGACUGGAGAACUGGACAAGGACUCAUGCAAACACGUAUGGGCUUCGCCUCCAUCUGAAAGGCGUUGGGGGCAAUAAAAAUGUGCAUCCCAGUCCCCCCUCCCACCUACCCCCCCACUCUGCCACGCCAAAGGCUCACAAUCCUGCAGAGAUUUUCCUAACAAAAGGCAUCAUGUGAUAUGACUGAGUGGUCAACAGAAUAUUUAAAUAUAGAUAAAGACGUGCUAAUAUUCUUAUAUGAAUCUGUCUUCAUUUGGGAAAAUGUUCUUUUCUAAAGCCCUGUGUGAUUCACCUGUCUCGUUUGCUUUAUGAGAAUAGCUACUCUGGAAACUCUUCAUCAGAUCAAGAUGUUGAAGUGGCGGUCAGUCUUUCCUGUGUCUUUCCUAUGCACCCAUUACUAAGCAAACUUGGGAAGGUUCAGGCUAAGUUUUGGUAUUAACGCAAAAGACAACUUUGAAAUGAAUGGUUUUCAGAAUAAAUGGUUUCCCUUACUACCAUGCAUUAGGGAAUUGAUACAUACAUGAGGAGUGCCUGACACAGCAUGAAGCCAACACAGAGGAAAUCAGAAGCAAAUGACAGAACCAGAGUCAUGGGUUUUUAAAUUUGAGCAAUCACUUCCUAUGACCAGUCAUGCUACAAGAGCCAGUAAACG
rnacentral:lncRNA from 9 species